UACGUAGGGUGCAAGCGUUGUCCGGAAUUAUUGGGCGUAAAGAGCUCGUAGGCGGUUUGUCGCGUCUGCUGUGAAGACGCGAGGCUCAACCUCGCGCCUGCAGUGGGUACGGGCAGACUAGAGUGCGGUAGGGGAGAUUGGAAUUCCUGGUGUAGCGGUGGAAUGCGCAGAUAUCAGGAGGAACACCGAUGGCGAAGGCAGAUCUCUGGGCCGUAACUGACGCUGAGGAGCGAAAGCGUGGGGAGCGAACAGG
rnacentral:rRNA from 1 species